UAAGUAAAAUAGGUCCGUAGAUUCCAA
rnacentral:sRNA from 1 species